GGAGAGGGCAGCAGAAUUCACGGUGUAGCAGUGAAAUGCGUAGAUAUCGUGAGGAAUACCAGAGGCGAAGGCGGCUACCUGGACAAUUGCUGACGCUCAGGCACGAAGGCGUGGGGAGCAAAAGGGAUUAGAUACCCCNGUAGUCCACGCCCUAAACGGUGCACACUAGGUCUNGGCGGAUUCGACCCCUCCAGGGCCCAAGCUAACGCGUUAAGUGUGCCGCCUGAGGACUACGGCCGCAAGGCUAAAACUCAAAGGAAUUGACGGGGGCCCGCACAAGCGGUGGAGUAUGUGGCUCAAUUCGAUGCAACGCGAAGAACCUUACCUGGCCUUGACAUGCAGGAGACAGGUGCUGAAAGGCACCCUUCCUUCGGGACUGCUGCACAGGUGCUGCAUGGCNGUCGUCAGCUCGUGUCGUGAGAUGUUGCGUUAAGUCGCGCAACGAGCGCAACCCCUGUCCUUAGUUGCCAUCAUUAAGUUGGGCACUCUAGGGAGACAAACCCUCUUUGAGGGUGGGAAGGUGGGGAUGACGUCAAGUCAGGAUGGCCCUUACGGCCAGGGCUGCACACGUACUACAAUGCCCAGCACAAUGUGAACCGAUACCGUAAGGUGGAGGAAAUCCUGAAAACUGGGCUCAGUUCGGAUUGGGGGCUGCANCUCNCCNCCAUGAAGUCGGAAUCGCUAGUAAUGGCACAUCAGCU
rnacentral:rRNA from 1 species